rnacentral:rRNA from 1 species
GAGAGUUCAAGAGGGCGUGAAACCGCUUGGAAGCAAACAGAUGGACCUGACGGAGAGUCGCUGGGAUUCAGCCCACUGCGUUACCUCAGCCUACUGCUUGAAUGAACCUCAAGUUUGUGGGUACUGGUGUGGCCAGUGGGUGCAUUUCCUGGUGAUGCGCAUUGGAGCCUGUGUCAGUGCUGGAUGUACGGUUGCAUGUGCCGGCCAACCUUGUUGGUGUCCCAGUGCUUCCCAAAACCGAGUCAUUGGCACAGGACUGUAUAGACAGCCGCCUCUACUCCUUUGUGUUGGUUUGCUUGUGUCGUUGAACUGCAGUCUCAUGCUUGCAUGAUUCAGCUGAUCCUUCGCUUGCAGCUGGCGAUUUGGAGUUGCUGUCUUCCUCCGGUGUUUUAGUCAGUUACCCACCUGACCCGUCUUGAAACACGGACCAAGGAGUCUAACAUGUGCGCGAGUCACUGGGCUGCAAAACCCAAAGGCGCAAUGAAAGUAAAGUCUAGUUCGGCUGGACGACAUGGGACCCUUUGCUUGCCAGAGGUGCACCAUGGUCCCGUCUAUACUGCAUCGUCAGUUGGGCGGAGAUAGAGCGUACACGUUGGGACCCGAAAGAUGG